UACGUAGGGUGCGAGCGUUGUCCGGAAUCAUUGGGUUUAAAGGGUCCGUAGGCGGUUUAGUAAGUCAGUGGUGAAAGCCCAUCGCUCAACGGUGGAACGGCCAUUGAUACUGCUAGACUUGAAUUAUUAGGAAGUAACUAGAAUAUGUAGUGUAGCGGUGAAAUGCUUAGAGAUUACAUGGAAUACCAAUUGCGAAGGCAGGUUACUACUAAUGGAUUGACGCUGAUGCUCGAAAGCGUGGGGAGCAAACAGG
rnacentral:rRNA from 1 species